AAUGCACUACUUAAAAAUUUCAUUUAGAAUUAGAACUAAGGAAACCCUAAAAUUUCCUACAUUGAGCGGCGCCUCCCUCCCGCUUGGCUUCCCAAAUCCUAUCUUCGAUUCCAGCCAUCUCCACCGUCCGGCGCCACCGUCCCAUCUGUCCGACUCCGUCAACUUCUCCAUCUCGCCGGGCAGAGGUUCGCGCACCAGAGGUUCGCCGGCAGAGGUUCAGCGGCCCAGCUCGCUGAAUUGUAGCCAAAGGUUCACCGCUAGAGGUUCGCGCGCCGAAUCGCUGCCACCGUUCGCGAGUCCAGAACCUCCACCGCUGCGAGUCUAGAGGCUUCACCUCCGCGAGUCCAGAACCUCCACUGCUUUGCUAGAUUCAACAUCCGCGAGUCUAGAACCUCCGUGAGUCCAGAACCUCCGCGAGUCUAUAGUUUUUGAGAGAUUCAACCAUUUGUUAGAUUUGAACUUUAUGACUUGAUUAUGAUUUUUGACUGAAUUGCUUAUGAAAUGCUUCUAGUUUUCGAUUCAAAA